rnacentral:rRNA from 1 species
UACGAAGGGGGCUAGCGUUGCUCGGAAUCACUGGGCGUAAAGCGCACGUAGGCGGAUGUGUCAGUCAGGGGUGAAAUCCCGGAGCUCAACUUCGGAACUGCCUUUGAUACAGCACGUCUUGAGUCCGGAAGAGGUGGGUGGAAUUCCUAGUGUAGAGGUGAAAUUCGUAGAUAUUAGGAAGAACACCGGCGGCGAAGGCGGCCCACUGGUCCGGUACUGACGCUGAGGUGCGAAAGCGUGGGGAGCAAACAGG